AACGAACGCUGGCGGCAUGCCUAACACAUGCAAGUCGAACGAUCCCUUCGGGGAUAGUGGCGCACGGGUGCGUAACGCGUGGGAACCUGCCCUUAGGUUCGGAAUAACUCAGAGAAAUUUGAGCUAAUACCGGAUAAUGUCUUCGGACCAAAGAUUUAUCGCCUUUGGAUGGGCCCGCGUUGGAUUAGCUAGUUGGUGGGGUAAAGGCCUACCAAGGCGACGAUCCAUAACUGGUCUGAGAGGAUGAUCAGCCACACUGGGACUGAGACACGGCCCACACACGUGAACUGGGCCACAGUCCGGAGUAUUGCAGGAGGGGGGAAUGGGGAAUAAUGGGCAGUGGGCUGAGUGAUGAACGACCAAUGCUGGGUGAGUGCUGUAGGCUUGAAGGUUGUAAAGCACUUUUACCCGGCGUGAUUAUGACGGUACCGGGAGAAUAAGCACCGGCUAACUCCGUG
rnacentral:rRNA from 1 species